rnacentral:lncRNA from 1 species
AUUUUUGAAAAGUUUGAAGAAGAAAUCUUUAAUUGCACAAUAUUGCGCAAUAGAUUUGUAAGAUCUUGACAUUUGUUUUGUGUCAGAAACUCAUAUUAUGCCAAAAAUUUGAUUACAAUCUAAAUUCAGAGCUGUAUCAAGCUUGAAUGUUGUGUCCAUACUUGCCCCAACUUGUUCAGGGUUCGACCUCUGCAGUGGUAUAAAGCUGCACCCUGCGGAGCACCUGGUUGAUAGAAUGCUUCCCUCCUCUCACUAUAAAUAAGAUGUGGUAUGAGUGCCAGUGAGACAACUCUCCCGUACAAGUCAAAAUGUAUAAAAAGUUAACAAUUAUUGGUGAAAGUUUGGCCUUAGAAGGCUCAUACCAAACAGCAAGGCUAUAAAGGGUUCCAAAAUGACAUGUCUAUUGGGACUU